CAGCCGCCGCGGGAAUACGAGGGGGGCAAGCGUUGUUCGGAAUUAUUGGGCGUAAAGGGUGCGUAGGCGGUCUGAUAAGUCUUAUGUGAAAUCUAUGGGCUCAACCCAUAGUCUGCAUAGGAAACUGUCAGGCUUGAGGAUGGGAGAGGUGAGUGGAAUUUCCGGUGUAGCGGUGAAAUGCGUAGAUAUCUGGAGGAAUACCGAUGGCGAAGGCAGCCAUCUGGCCUAAUACUGACGCUGAGGUACGAAAGCAUGGGGAGCAAACAGGAUUAGAUACCCCUGUAGUCCCUGUCUCUUAUAC
rnacentral:rRNA from 1 species